rnacentral:tRNA from 1 species
CCGUCGAUAGCUCAGUGGUAGAGCGGUGGACUGUAGAUCCAUAGGUCGCUCGUUCAAAUCCGGCUCGACGGA